rnacentral:lncRNA from 1 species
GUACAGACUACCACCGGCUGGCUGGUUCGCUCUUGCUUCGGUCAACAACAACAAUGUUGUACCAUUGUCUACCCAAUGGAAGCAUGACUUGAAUGAAUAGAGGAGUCAAUCUUUGCUAAAGGAGCAUGGCUUCCAUGCUCAUUGAGGAACACUCUGUAUCUUUGAGCAAAGAACAGGAAAGUAGAAGAGAGUGUAAGAGAGUCUCCUCUCUCACAGGUCAGUGAGCAGCUUGGCUUCUUGCUACAGAGGGAGUCUAGCUAACGUGUGGAUAGGUCUGUAUGUUAUCAUUCCCUUUGAUUUGGAUCUAUCAGCAACAUUAACAAUCCCUCUCAGGCUCUGUGUCCUUUGCCUGGGAAGCCCAGGUGUCUCUGUCAUGGGAUUAGUUGCCCUGCUAAUUGCUUGAGAGAUCCAGGGAGAGAAAACACUGCAUAAUGUGGAAGACAGGAAAUAUUUAACUUCAGAAUCCUGUGUGUGUUUCCAAGAGCAAAGAAAGCUACCACUCUUGGGUUGAUGUGACUUGAGAACGUAUCUGUGGAUUUCACUGAGACAUAUGAAAGGACCCUAAUAAUGCUUAAGGAAGCCUCUACAGAAACACGAUGCUGGAAAACUAGUAACCUAGGGGAAGUGCAGUCCAACCCUGAGCUCAUCUUCAAGUUGCUGCAAGGAACUGGAUCCUGUAUGGCAGAAGCUCCAAUCAAAUCUUCCCAGAGGAAGAACUGUCAUAGAAAGAACAGUUGAGUUGGCCAAUGUGUCAAGAGCCAAAGCCUAAGCCUGCGUUUAAAUGAAGUCAGAUCACGUCCAGAACUGCAGACCUCUGCCAUCUCAUGAUUUUUAAAAAUGGAUUAUAAUUUCAACCAACAAAUGUUUAGAAAGUAAGGUUAUUUUCUUUUGCAUAUAAAACAAUGGCCGUCACAUUUUUCCAAUUCUCAGUGGUACCGUCUACAUGUAUGAAACAUGUAUGCUUGUCUGCAUAGUCAUUUGUGUGUUUGAACCUGUAUAUAUACAAUUCCAAAAUAGCUUAGAAAGCAUAUGAAAGUACUUCAAAUAAGAGCCAA